CACACAGACACAUGAACUACAUUAAGUCAAUAAUCACUGAAAACUGCAAACCUUUACAGCUCAAUGGUAACACCACAGCACUACCUUUGCAACGGCUAUAGGUUUGAUUGGUUUCACUGGCCAGCCAAGCUAAAAACGAAUGCACGAACGGUACCCUGGGGUGUUUCAAACAAAAGCGUUCUCCAAAAAGGCCUUUGUUAAAUACUGCUCGGGUCAUUUCUCAGCUCACACCAGAGGGGUAUUGAUUUCUCCUGUCAUUGUAGCUAAGCAACACCUUCUGUCCACACGCAAAACUACUGUCUUAUCCCAGGUCUGUACAAAUUACAGACCUUCCACCUACAUUUAUAAAAAGGUAGAAGAUCUUAUAUUGGCAGAGGAUAAAAUAGGAAACAAUAAGGUCAGAUCUUCCAUCUAGCGUAAAUGACAAAUCACACAGUCUCUUUCGACACCUCUCAAACGUCACAGCUUUGAGGCUCAUCUGUAUGUGCUUCGUAACUCAAGAGAUAAAGGUGACUACAGCGCAGCAAGCAUUUUAAGUAAUGAAAAGCCCCCAAAGCUGGCAAGCAGGUGACUUACAAAAAGGUAAACUGCCUGCAACAAGCCAUCAUACAGAAUGUGUGUGUAUGUUUCAGUGAGGGCAUAUUUAUUUCCUCACUGCAGCGAUUACUGUUUAUUCUGUCACACAAAGAAUAAAUAUGGUUUACUGGUAGACUGAUUUCUGACACAUAAGAUGUACUGUAAUUCUUACACACAGUUCAGGAAAGAUAACACUGCAGACAUAGGUUUGUCAUCACAUACUGUAGGCUCUUUAUCUCUGUGGUGUGCCAGAGGACCAACAGGCUGAAAUCCCUCCACAAUUUAUCAAAACGUACAAAAAUUGAAAUGCUCCGAUAACAAGAAUCCUACACAAGGCUUACAGGCUUAGAGUGUGGACAACCAUAGAGGCUUAGGACAUGACGAUUCACUUCCUGACACAAUUUAAGGGACAACAAAGCCUUCCCAAACUCGCUCUGUGUGUCGCCUGAGGUAUCCCACAGAUGAAGUACAUUACUGUGCAUCAGAACAGAAAUCCUCGCUUACAGUGUGAAAAUUAACACAAUCCAAAUGCUGCCAGGCACAAGUAGUCAAUCUUGGAUAUCUUAUUCUAUACUAAAUAAUGAAUUUCACGGAUAACAGAUAGCCUUCAUGGAGUAACAAUUCAAAUAUAAUCUAGGUCAGACAAUCCAUUAUAAUUUCACUAUGACUAUGAUUUCACUCAUGGAGACAAGUUUACCUUACUCACAUUUAUCUCACUGACAUUAAGAUUGUUAUUGAGGCAACACAACAUUAUGAACAGAGCUGGGUUACUCAUCAACACAGCCAUCUUAUUCUGGUUUCUCUCAGUAUUUUGAUUCUGCACAUAGCUAUAAAAGGUCAUGGAGUGAAGCGGAUACAAAGCAAUGUAUUUAAAAAGAAAAAACCUAGCUGGCGGUCACAGAAGACUAAAAACACGAUAGCAAAUAUAGCUUUCACUUUAUACAUAACACCUCGAGUAAUAGAGAUUACAUUAAGGGUGCUUUGGAAACUUAUCAAUGUGUGUGUAAAUCUUAAUCUAGUUGUCAUAGAAAUCAAACAUAAAUCACUGAUUAGAGGUUAUUGAGAGAUAUGAUUAGAAUAUCAACGUUCAUGAAUAUGUGUAUAUUACUAUGGAUUUCCACCACAUAGGUAUACAGUAAUUAGUAAUAGUUAUCUGUGUGCAUGAAAACAUGCAGUUAAUGAAAGUAGGAGAAAUUUUUGAAGUUACAUCAGGAGGUUAGAACCAUGAAUAUAUUACCUAACUCCUGUGAAAGUUCCCAAUCAACACACACACACACACACACACCUUGCCACUGAAGUAUCCUCUAGAUGAUAGCGCCAAAUAAUAAAUCUAACAACAGACGACAAUAAAAUCGAGACAUGGUAAAGGUCAUAUUAAAGUGACAUUCAGGGGGAGGUGAUCUCACGUGGUGUCAUUUUGCAGAAGACGACACAUAGUCAUAGUCUCUCAGUGUAGAAGAGAGAAAUUAUUGCGUCAAUUAGCAUUGCGGACAUGGUGCUCAUUUACAUAUAUUCCAAGUACAUCAAUCUGUGGGCCGACCUCUGUCAAAACUGAUUUAAAAGCUCUUUGUUGUCUUUCGUGGGACAAUCCCUCCCUUUUCCUACACUAUGCUAACACAGCAACAUCAAAAGCAGAGACUGCAUUGGCGACAAAUACGUUUUGAUAAUGUUUCUUCAGGGAACAUAAUCACCUGGAACAAGCACUAACACAUGCACAUAUUACUCACACGCCGCUAAAGACUCCAACUGAGGAAGCUAAUGUGAUUUGUCCAUGCAAAAAAUAAGAGAGAGCAAAAAAGAAACACAGAAAGCGGGGAGCAGGGGGCAGGUUAUUCAGACCCUUAGACUCAAAUCGACAAAAGUAAUUAAGCCUGCUCAUCUGACCUGCUCUCAAAAACUAGAAAACUAAUCACUACUUCAAAAUGAUCAGGGUUACAGUUUAGCUGAAUAACUAAAAUGUUAUCACACUUCCUUGUCCCAAUAAUUAACACAUUGCUGGCAUAGCCUCAAUUAAUAAUUAAUCAAUAAACGUCUAAUGAUGCCUUUAAGUGCCUGUCUGAAUUAUCAGAAUAAAAGUUUUGCGCACAGGAAACCAUAUAAAUCCAGUUGUAAUUAUUUGGAAAAUCUGACUACCCCAUCUAAGCUUAGACUCAAACUAAUGUAAAACACGCCUGACAGCGGUGCAAUGACUGGAAUGUCGUAAAAUAGAGUGCAAGUGGUUACUUGGUGGACAGCGUGUGGCAUAGGUUGCUUUUUUUCUAGUCCACACUGUUACCAAGUAAAUACGCAAGAACUUUCUUUUUAAGGGCCAAUCAUUAACAAACUCCUAAAAUGACAGGGGUCUCCUUGGUAUGUGUAGUGAAUUACCAUCAAACCAUAAGUCACAACAUAGGCUCGCCAAAGUAUACACACUAUUAACAUUAAAAUAGAUAUACUUUAGGCCAGUGGUUCCAAACUUGGAAAAGAUUAUUCAGAGGGGUAAAAAGAGUAUUAAAGGAGUAUUACAUUUAAAAAAAACUAUUUCUUUACACAAUUAUUUCUGACUUUACUUCAAAUUUUUGUGUUUUCUCAUGGAAUGCUGGAUACUUUCAACUCGUCAGGUCCCUAAAAGUGCUUUAAAAAAAUCUGAUUAAGAUGGUUGAAUUGCUUAUAACUCAUGUCAGCACUAUGGCCAUACUGUCUGACGAGGGGCCGCAAGUUUAUUUGCUUUGUUUUAUGGGGUCGAAAGCCAAAAAGGUUGGGAACCACUGCUUUAGACCACAGACCAGCAUUCGUUGUUCAUUAGAGGGUAUAUGACAGUGGACAGCGCUCAGUUACUGAUCCGAAGAGAAAUUUAAGUCUUUUUGUGGCUAUCUUUUGUGUCAUAUAUAAACAAACAUUUAACUGUAAUAACUUAUACUGUAUAAAAUACAAGAGAGAUUAAACUAUUCCUUUUCGAGGAACACCAGAUCCCAGUAAACCCCGAGGUACUAAUUUACCAUUUUGCAGUAGAAGGGUUUGAGCAAGUUCAUUUCAGUCUUAACACAAUAUACUGUCAUGUAAAGCCACUGAUCCUGACAAGGUUGGCAUAAUAACUUAUGCUCACAGGUAGCAGUUUAACCACAUAUUUUUAAAAUGUCAAACAGAAUAUGUGUGCAGCUGCAGCAACCUAGACAGGACCCAUGUGUGACUUUAAUUCUCAAUCAAACCACUUCCUGUUCUUCACUAAAGCGCGUGUUUGGUUGUGAAGUUAUGUUAACACGUGCUCAUGACAUUACUAUUAUCAUGACAAACCAAGACUUACAGAUGGGUAAUUAGCCAUAAAAAGCGAAACACUGGUUACAAUGACAUUUUAAGGCUGUAAAUUCCAACUAUACAUAAGUAAACACACACCUUGGAAGCUAAAUGUGAAGGCUAUUGUUGGCAAACCAGCUAAGCUAACGUCCGUAACUGACUUUGGGCCACUCUACCUAACAGAAAUCAGCAGAGGAUGACAAAAUCAAGGUGACCACAACGUUCAACAUGUUUUCAUCAAGUUUUAAUAGUGUUAGCCAGCAAAACUCAGGAUGGAUCUUCCAUAUGCAAAAACUUACAGUACAGCAUUCUGUUUACCCCCUAUCAGCCAACACAUUAAGCAACACCAUGCCCA